rnacentral:rRNA from 1 species
AACGAACGCUGGCGGCAGGCUUAACACAUGCAAGUCGAACGCCCCGCAAGGGGAGUGGCAGACGGGUGAGUAACGCGUGGGAAUCUACCCAAUUCUUCGGAACAACUGAGGGAAACUUCAGCUAAUACCGGAUACGCCCUACGGGGAAAGGAUUUAUCGGAAUUGGAUGAGCCCGCGUUGGAUUAGCUAGUUGGUGAGGUAAUGGCUCACCAAGGCGACGAUCCAUAGCUGGUCUGAGGAGGAUGAUCAGCC